UGCUGCUUCAUAUUUCUGCAGUUCAACUGCCUCAUGUAUAAAAUAUAAGCCUCGGGUGGAUAACUAAUGCUCCCAUUGUUUUUGUUUGCUCUGAAACUGUGUUUUUCUAACUUCAGAGAGUUCUCCCCAGGUAUGUGUGAAGGUGUGACAUCUGGAUCACGGCAGCUAUUGACACUUUCGACUUCAAUGGACAAGUCUGCAUCUAUUGAGUGUCACCAUGCGCAGCCUGAGGAUGGAGCAGACACCUCAGAAGGCCGAGGGCAGGGAUGCAGAGACAUGCACUGGCAUCAUUUGUACAGCUAAUCCAGAACUGCCUGAAUCUUGUCUACAUCUGGAUUUUUCACUUACAUAAAACAGUAAAUAUCUCCCCGUGUGAAAAGCCAAUGGGAAUUGAAUUUUAUGUCACUUGCAACCAAAGGAUUGCUGACAUUUAUUGUAUUAUUUUUUUCUUUCUCUCUGUUACCUUUGUCUUCUAAUUUCAUUUCACUUCAAAUCACAUGUUGCACCUGAUGGGCAAUGGCCUGAAUCUAGGUGGUAGCUACUUUCCCUUUGGCCUACACAGAAUAACCUAUAGAAUAUAUUUUCCCUUUAAUUUGAAUUAGUUGUCGACAUUUAAAAAUUAUAAAGAAUUUCCAUAAAUACGCACAUUUGUCAACGCUGGGCCUACAAUUCCAAUUGGCUGCAACUAAAUAGCCAUUGUGAUCCUGAGCUGAGCCACGGCAGUCCAUUUCCACCUCUGUGCCUCUGCCUCCGUUGCCUUCCACGGGCACAUGCCCCUUGUUUAUUCCCGUCUGGCCUUCCUGGGCUUGUGCCUUUGUGACCCUGAUCUGCAGCAUGGCAGCUAAUCGGGAUAAAGAAAAAGAGGAAAUCCUGGCUUGCUUCUGUGUAGAAUUUUUUUAAAUGACCCCUAUAGAACAUCUUUACAACUUUGAUUAAUCUCUACUUGUCUUUCCCAAAGUAUCCAGGUAAUUACCAUUCCUACAGAGAGUACUUAAUUAAAAAAUAAUUGAAAAAUUAAGAAUUACUUUCUUAAAACCUGUGAAAUGGAAAAGCACUUAAUGUAAGAAGGCUUAAAGUUAUUUUAUUCAGCUUAAUUUGAUACAGUGUAUACAUAAAAACCCAUCUCAUAAUUAAAUGCUACUUUAAUGAAUGUGCUAAUGGUGGCAAUAAAGCUUUUUAAAUUUGAAAAGAUCUAAAAUUAUCACUCUGCUUUAUAUAAAUCCAGUGUGACUGAGUCUAAAUGACAGGCAGAGGCACACUUUAGUUCUUUGUAAAAAGCUGCACUAACAAGCAAAUGUAAUUGCUAGAUGUUAUCAGCCCUUCCAAUCAAGAGAAUGAAAUCAGUCCUAAGGCUGUCGAUGCAUCUGGGAGGACUGGGUGCCCUAAGUCAAGGGGAUAAUGGGGUUUUCUAAGAAAGUCUGCAUUCUGUGCUGGUGAAGACCAGACAUGCUGAGUUCUGCUUGAUUGCAACUGGCAGUUGUAAGGAACAGUGUGAUACAGGUAAGAGCUUUCUUACCUUUUUAAAAAAAUCUCUCACACUUAAAACUUUGUUUUGGCGUGAUAUCAGCAUUUGAAUAACAUGUAAAUCUAGUAAGUAUCUUUAAUAUAUACACUCUAACAUUAAAUGUUAAAAUGCAC